GAUGGGGAGACAGGGCUGGUUCAGGGGGAUGGGGAUGGGGAGACAGGGCUGGUUCAGGGGUAUGGGGAUGGGGAGACAGGGCUGGUUCAGGGGUAUGGGGAUGGGGAGACAGGGCUGGUUCAGGUGUAUGGGGAUGGGGAGACAGGGCUGGUUCAGGGGUAUGGGGAUGGGAGGACAGGGCUGGUUCAGGGGUAUGGGGAGACAGGGCUGGUUCGGGGGUAUGGGGAUGGGGAGACAGGGCUGGUUCAGGGGUAUGGGGAUGGGGAGACAGGGCUGGUUCAGGGGUAUGGGGAGACAGGGCUGGUUCAGGGGGAUGGGGAUGGGGAGACAGGGCUGGUUCAGGGGUAUGGGGAUGGGGAGACAGGGCUGGUUCAGGGAUAUGGGGAUGGGGAGACAGGGCUGGUUCAGGGGUAUGGGGAUGGGGAGACAGGGCUGGUUCAGGGAUAUGGGGAUGGGGAGACAGGGCUGGUUCAGGGGGAUGGGGAUGGGGAGACAGGGCUGGUUCAGGGGUAUGGGGAUGGGGAGACAGGGCUGGUUCAGGGGUAUGGGGAGACAGGGCUGGUUCAGGGGUAUAGGGAUGGGGAGACAGGGCUGGUUCAGGGGUAU
rnacentral:lncRNA from 1 species